GAGAGCCACAGCGCCAUAUCUCAGCAGCCCAGCGGUCCCCGAGGGAGUUUUGACCUUUGCGGAUUUCAAAAGACCCAAAUUUUUCCAGAGGAGUGGGCAGCAAGAAAACUGAGUGCUGCAGCCAAGUGGAGACUGUGGACUAUAGUACCGCGACAUUGAGACCUUAUACAAAGCCACAUCGUAAUGAUGUCCUUCUUCCGGAAUGGGCUGCAAGGUGGACUGUCCUUGCUUCAUUCUCUUGGAACACACAAUAAAGACUGCAGCCCACAGGCUUAACUGCUGUAAGGUAAAAGAAAUACAAUUCAUUUAUUUUUCAAAAAAGAAUACAUUUAAAGCACAUACUGCAGGUUAGACGUAUUUCUUUCACUCUUGUGUUAGCCUGUUUCUGUUGUUAGUUGGGGGUGGGGGGCGCAAACCAAAUUCCAGACUGUUGGAAAA